rnacentral:rRNA from 1 species
UACGGGGGGGAGCAAGCGUUGUUCGGAUUUACUGGGCGUAAAGGGCGCGUAGGCGGUCCGCUAAGUUGGAUGUGAAAACUCUGGGCUCAACCCAGAGCCUGCAUUCAAAACUGACGGGCUAGAGUUCUGGAGGGGGUAGCGGAAUUCCUGGUGUAGCGGUGAAAUGCGUAGAUAUCGAGAGGAACACCGGUGGCGAAGGCGGGUCUCUGGGCCGAUACUGACGCUGAGGAGCGAAAGCGUGGGGAGCGAACAGG